rnacentral:rRNA from 1 species
AGAGUUUGAUCCUGGCCCAGAUUGAACGCUGGCGGCAUGCCUUACACAUGCAAGUCGAACGGCAGCACGAGAGCUUGCUCUUGGUGGCGAGUGGCGAACGGGUGAGUAAUAUAUCGGAACGUACCCUAGAGUGGGGGAUAACGUAGCGAAAGUUACGCUAAUACCGCAUACGAUCUACGGAUGAAAGUGGGGGAUCGCAAGACCUCAUGCUCAUGGAGCGGCCGAUAUCUGAUUAGCUAGUUGGUGGGGUAAAAGCUCACCAAGGCGACGAUCAGUAGCUGGUCUGAGAGGACGACCAGCCACACUGGAACUGAGACACGGUCCAGACUCCUACGGGAGGCGGCAGUGGGGAAUUUUGGACAAUGGGCGCAAGCCUGAUCCAGCAAUGCCGCGUGAGUGAAGAAGGCCUUCGGGUUGUAAAGCUCUUUUGUCAGGGAAGAAACGGUGGACUCUAAUACAGAUCACUAAUGACGGUACCUGAAGAAUAAGCACCGGCUAACUACGUGCCAGCAGCCGCGGUAAUACGUAGGGUGCAAGCGUUAAUCGGAAUUACUGGGCGUAAAGCGUGCGCAGGCGGUUGUGCAAGACAGAUGUGAAAUCCCCGGGCUCAACCUGGGAAUUGCAUUUGUGACUGCACGGCUAGAGUGUGUCAGAGGGGGGUAGAAUUCCACGUGUAGCAGUGAAAUGCGUAGAGAUGUGGAGGAAUACCGAUGGCGAAGGCAGCCCCCUGGGAUAACACUGACGCUCAUGCACGAAAGCGUGGGGAGCAAACAGGAUUAGAUACCCUGGUAGUCCACGCCCUAAACGAUGUCUACUAGUUGUCGGGUCUUAAUUGACUUGGUAACGCAGCUAACGCGUGAAGUAGACCGCCUGGGGAGUACGGUCGCAAGAUUAAAACUCAAAGGAAUUGACGGGGACCCGCACAAGCGGUGGAUGAUGUGGAUUAAUUCGAUGCAACGCGAAAAACCUUACCUACCCUUGACAUGUCUGGAAUCCUUGAGAGAUCAGGGAGUGCUCGAAAGAGAAUCAGAACACAGGUGCUGCAUGGCUGUCGUCAGCUCGUGUCGUGAGAUGUUGGGUUAAGUCCCGCAACGAGCGCAACCCUUGUCAUUAGUUGCUACGAAAGGGCACUCUAAUGAGACUGCCGGUGACAAACCGGAGGAAGGUGGGGAUGACGUCAAGUCCUCAUGGCCCUUAUGGGUAGGGCUUCACACGUCAUACAAUGGUACAUACAGAGGGCCGCCAACCCGCGAGGGGGAGCUAAUCCCAGAAAGUGUAUCGUAGUCCGGAUUGUAGUCUGCAACUCGACUACAUGAAGUUGGAAUCGCUAGUAAUCGCGGAUCAGCAUGUCGCGGUGAAUACGUUCCCGGGUCUUGUACACACCGCCCGUCACACCAUGGGAGCGGGUUUCACCAGAAGUGGGUAGCCUAACCGCAAGGAGGGCGCUCACCACGGUGGGAUUCGUGACUGGGGUGAAGUCGUAACAAGGUA